rnacentral:lncRNA from 1 species
UUGCAGAAAAACAAGCUAAGGCCUCCCACUCAUUCUACAUUAUGCCUUAGCCGAGAUGUCUCACCCCACUCUCUAUGAUGCAACAAGAAGCCCCUGGGGAACGUUUCAGUCCCAGUCUGUACUAUUGUCAUGUGCUCAUCACAGUCUGAACCACCUAAGCUAAAGAUUCUUUUGAGAACAAGGGCUAGCCUGUGGUUUCAUGGCCUUUCUUCCAUUUGGGGUUCUUGCCAAGUGGAAUUUAAAUGACCUCUUAUCAAGAUGGAUAAACCCAAGUUUCCCAGUGCUGGAAUACAGAAAAUGGAUGGACAAGAUGUCUUUUUGUCACUUCCAGCUGGAUCUACCAUGAAAGACGUCAGAGUCCAGGAAGAGAGACUGACUGGGCAACAUGUUAUUCAGAAUUAGAGAAGAUGAUGUGGUGAUGGAAGAAGAGGUCAGAGAGGGAGAUUUGAAGAUGUUGCAGUUCUGGCCUUCAAGAUGGAGUCAGGGGCUAUCUUCAAGAGAGAAGAUCUUGAUCUGUGGCCCAGGCUGCAGUACAGUG